rnacentral:rRNA from 1 species
AGGCGGCUGACUAUACUGCAGUCGAGCGGAGUUGAUGGGAAGCUUGCUUCCUUGAUGCUUACCGGCGGACGGGUGAGUAACACGUAGGCAACCUGCCCUCAAGCUUGGGACAACUACCGGAAACGGUAGCUAAUACCGAAUACUUGUUUUCUUCGCCUGAAGAAAACUGGAAAGACGGAGCAAUCUGUCACUUGAGGAUGGGCCUGCGGCGCAUUAGCUAGUUGGUGAGGUAACGGCUCACCAAGGCGACGAUGCGUAACCGACCUGAGAGGGUGAUCGGCCACACUGGGACUGAGACACGGCCCACACUCCUACGGGAGGCAGCAGUAGGGAAUCUUCCGCAAUGGGCGAAAGCCUGACGGAGCAAUGCCGCGUGAGUGAUGAAGGUUUUCGGAUCGUAAAGCUCUGUUGCCAGGGAAGAACGCUUGUGAGAGUAACUGCUCUCUGGGUGACGGUACCUGAGAAGAAAGCCCCGGCUAACUACGUGCCAGCAGCCGCGGUAAUACGUAGGGGGCAAGCGUUGUCCGGAAUUAUUGGGCGUAAAGCGCGCGCAGGCGGUCAUUUAAGUCUGGUGUUUAAUCCCGGGGCUCAACCCCGGAUCGCACUGGAACUGGAUGACUUGAGUGCAGAAGAGAGAGUGUAAUUCCACGUGUACUAAAAGGGGGAAAAAAAAGG